CAGUCGCCGCGGGAAUACGUAGGGUGCGAGCGUUAAUCGGAAUUACUGGGCGUAAAGCGUGCGCAGGCGGUUGUGUAAGACAGGUGUGAAAUCCCCGGGCUUAACCUGGGAACUGCGCUUGUGACUGCACAGCUAGAGUAUGGCAGAGAGGGGUGGAAUUCCACGUGUAGCAGUGAAAUGCGUAGAGAUGUGGAGGAACACCGAUGGCGAAGGCAGCCCCCUGGGCCAAUACUGACGCUCAUGCACGAAAGCGUGGGGAGCAAACAGGAUUAGAUACCCGCGUAGUCCCUGUCUCUUAUAC
rnacentral:rRNA from 1 species